UACGUAGGGGGCAAGCGUUGUCCGGAAUCAUUGGGCGUAAAGAGCGUGUAGGCGGCUUGGUAAGUCCGCUGUGAAAGUCCAGGGCUCAACCCUGGAAUGCCGGUGGAAACUGUCAAGCUUGAGUCCGGAAGAGGCGAGUGGAAUUCCUGGUGUAGCGGUGAAAUGCGCAGAUAUCAGGAGGAACACCGGUGGCGAAGGCGGGUCUCUGGGCCGAUAUUGACGCUGAGGAGCGAAAGCGUGGGGAGCGAACAGGA
rnacentral:rRNA from 1 species